AUUCAUCUUCGGGGCAGGGUGAAAAUCCCGACCGGCGGUAAUAGAGUUAUAAAUCGUUAAUGAUUUUUCAUUAACUUGAGAGGUUUAUGCUAAACUCUUCAGCCCGCGACCUGUGUAAAUUUAUUUGCAUGGCUGACUUGGUGUAAUUCCAAGGCCGACAGUUACAGUCUGGAUGGGAGAAGAUGGAG
rnacentral:ncRNA from 2 species